UUCCUCCACUUCACAAAAGUUUCACGUUAGUCUCCUGACUCCUACUUCUCCUAGCACCUCAUCUUCUGUACUUUAUUUCUCUCCUUCUCUGCAAAAACAUUAUUAAUAAAUGAAAAAAAUAAAGAAAGAAAAUAUGUGGAGAAAAAGAGUCUUAAGUAAGCAUAUCAUAACCAUAUUAUACCAAAAAUUUAAUUGAGGUAAGUAUGUAAUUAAAUUCUUUUUAUCGAUUCCAUCAUCCAGUUCAAUGAAAUGUCAAUUUCCCAUUUCUCUAUUUUCUUUUCCUUUUUCUAUUUUGAUGAAUUUUUUCAGUCAGCUUGGCUUUUAUAGUGAAAGAUUUUUUAGUUCUUUUUUUAAAUUUUUUUAUUGAAAAUUAGAACCUUCAUUUUCCCUGACUUUAUUUGUUGCCAGCUAAGGUGACUGUUAUAAGAUCAAUAUUUUUUUCUGGUAUAAAGUUGUGUUAACCAAUUCUGAUAAUAAUCUAAAUUUAUGCAAAUUUAAUUCCAGCAGUGCUUGAAAGAUAGACUUUUUUGUAUAUUUGACUCUUCGAAUUUUCAUUAACUGAAUUGAACUUUGAAACUCCGCUGCAGUGGAUAUCAACUGUAAAAGCUCAAAAUUAUACAGUUAAAUCUCUAAUAUUUCAAAGAGAUUUUGCAGAUUAUUCUUUGUUGAGUAGGCCUCUUGUUUGGUAGGUGGUGUUAUUGUACAGUGGUUACUUAGUUGGCGUAAUACAAAAAAACACUGUAAUAAUAAAAAAUAAAAAAAGGCCUACUCAAAAACUGAACUUGAAGAAAGGUACUCAUCGGUCCCAAUUUAAGUGUCUUAUUUUUACUUCGCAUGAAGUUUAAGAAAUAAAAAAAGUCUUUUGAAUCUUGGGCUCCUAAAUUAAAGAUGGGUAUAAUAUACUAAAAUGUCAUUUGAAUCUUGUAGUUUUAAACACAUGUAGAAUGUCUGAAUUGUCAAUUUACUAAAUAUAGGAAGAGACGCUCUUUUUGGUAAUGAUCAAAAAGGAAAGUAAAACACUAAGAAUUGGGAAGGAGUAUUUUUUUUUUUUUAACGAGGAAUAGUGUAUAUCUUUCAUAACAAUGACUACAUACCAGAUACUUCAAUUUGAAAAGGAAAAUUGUAAGGAACUCCUCUUACAAGUCGUGCUUUACUUUUUGGUCUUAGUGGAUUUUGUAAAUGUCACACAAUUUUGGAUUCUGAUAGGCAUAGAGGAAGCUUCUGACUUCAAAAAGUUGAUUAGCACAAAUAACCAACAAACUAAAUGUAGAAUUUUUAGUACCUAAGUUAUCCAAAGAUUCUUAAUGUUCAUUGGUGUUGCACUUUUAUAAUGAUGGUUAUUCCUUUCCAUUCCCUUUAUCUGUUUGAAAUUUUCAGAAAAGAAAUGUUAGUACUUUACUACUCUGCAAUUUAGAUGCUUAGCUUUUGAUUGUUGGUUUCGUUCUUGUACUGCAUUUGCAUUGUUAUAUUGGAAAUCCUGUUUGUCAUUCUUAGGUAUACAUUGCAAGUUUUAACAUGCCAUUUUCGUUAUUUAGGUGGUUGUGACAUUUUCUUAUCGACUAUUAGUUUGGUCCAAUAGUUGAUGGCAUCACCUGAAAUUGAUUAUUGCUGGUCAUCCUCAGUUUCUGAAUCUUUUGGUGGAUGCUUUAACAUACGACUAGAAGGAGAAAACUCGGGAGACACUUUAAAUUUUCUUGAAGAUCCAAGGUCUCCAGCUUAUAAUGCAUGUAAUAUUCCAGAGCCUCCUCAUCCUCCUUCUGGUAAAAUCUGUUUGAGAUCCAUUACUCAUAGAGGACGUGGUAAGUCUGGUCGUGUCCCUAAAGAAACAAGAGAUACAUGGGAUAAGCUAUUUAAAGAUGGAUAUGGAGCAGAUGUACAUAUAAUUACCGAUGAUGGUUCAUUUAUUCCAGCUCAUUAUACUCUUCUGUUAUGAAGAAAGAGAAAUGAAGAAGUUUAUUCUGCAUCUGUUAGUGUUGUCACAUUCUUACUCAGUACCAUCACUUAAAAGAGUCUGCAUACACCUUUUGGAGCAGGAUUGGUUGAGCCCUGAAAAUGUGAUAGAUGUUCUUCAGUUGGCAAGGAACUGUGAUGCACCACGUCUUAUACUUGUCUGUAUUCGUAUGACAGUGAGCAACUUCAAAACCGUAUCAUCCUCUGAGGGAUGGAAAGUGAUGAGACGUGCUAACCCUAUGCUUGAACAGGAACUUCUAGAAUCUGUUGUUGAUGCAGAUUCGGGAUCAGUGUCGGACGAUUGGACCUACGGACCAACUUAAAACUAGCCAGGGGGGCUGUAGUUUAACGGCAUGCAAGGGGCUGCAAAAACAACAUUCCCUUUGUUUUUUUGAUAUUUUUAUAACGGAUUAAUUCAGUGAAUUAGAACGAAUCAACUGAUUGAUGGGUCGUGUCUCAGUUCCAGUGUGGCCGAUCAUCCUCUCGGACCAGCUACUGUCAUCGUCUUGGUAGGAGACUCUGGUCCGUCAUUUCUCCAGUUGCAAAGUCGGAGUUUCUGGUGGAUGUGUACAUUCCAAAAGAAUGUGGCAGCUUCUUGCUUCAUUCACGCAUAUGUGAUGAACCAAAUCAUUUCAAAGUUCCUCUUUGUAGGAUGUUGAGAGUCCAAGGACAAAAAGGAAGCAAAAUGAUAGAAAAAGAGAUGCGGAGAAGAAUGCGGCACCGGAAACUCCAAAUGCGGCCGCAAGUUGAUCACAUACACUAAUCAGAGAGGUUGCGAGAAAUCACCCAAAUGCGAGGAGUAUGCGGCACCGCAUACUUGAGAUGCGGAGCCGCAAAAGCUAAAUGUGGCUACAUACUCUCGCCCGCUGCCCCGGCAGUGAG